UAUUAAGUCGAUAUUAUUUAUUUGGACAUAAAUAAUACACAAUUUAUCGAGAUCAAAAGAUUAAGUGAUCGACGGACUAAAUUGGACGAAAGAAAAGUUAAAAAUCGAAGCGUGAGGAGGUGGUAAACUUAAGGAUCAAAUUGGACAUUUUCCAACCCAUGAUUAUCACUUAUAUGUGAUAAUAUUGCUGGAAUAUUCAUUUUAUGACAGCAACAAAAUAAUUAGAGAGAAAAGGUGGUCUUCUUCUUCCUUGAGAAGAAAUGAUGGAAAAAUCUUCAAAAAUUCAUAUCUUCUUCGUUUUAGCUCCGAUUGGGGCGAUUCUUGCGGCCACGGAACGAGGAGGAGGAGCUCUACUGAUCUAGACCUAUUAAUCAAGGUAUGAAUCACUAAAUCUGGUUAGGUUUUGAGCUGUGAUUUUCGGGAUUUGUAAGUAUAAAUGGUGAUGAUGAUUCUAAUGGUGUAGAUGAUGGUUAUGAUGAGUAAAUUGAUGGUUUAUGCAAAGUUUAAUGAUUUAAUUGGUGAGACUUGAGAGUUGUGAAUUAUGUGUGAUGUAUGUUAAGGGUUAGAGUUUAAUUUGCUGUUUUGAAUAAUAAUGGUGACCAUAAUGAUUUGAGGCUUAAAAAUGAAGUUUACGUGUUGUAAUUGAUCGGUUUUGAUAAGUUUUAUAGUUAAUUGUUGUGAGAUGUCCAUGAGCAGCCCCUCCCCUUGUCAAAGCAAGGGAGGGCAGAGAGUAGAGGAAGGGGCCGAAGUCACCCCUUCCCCGAGGUCCAAUUACGCUCAUAAUUGAUGAAAACGCUAAGCGUUAUGAGCUAGAUUGAUUUGGAUGUAAAACAAGUUUUGAAAAUGGAACUUUGGAUUAAGAUUUUGUUGAAUGAAAUUGAUGGAAUAGGUCAUGUAUUAGGGCUGGAUUAUUGUAAUGUUGAAAUAUGAUAUCGAUAUGUUUAGUUCCGUCACGUAAUAGUUUCAAUCCGAAUGUAUAAACGAUAAUUGGACAUUUUGCAAGAAUUUUCUGUGCAAAACAGCCUUAGUGCGCGGGUCAUAUCUCGAGUUGUAUACGUCCAAAUUGAGUUCCGUUUAUUGGUACGGAAACUUAAUGAUGUUAUCUACGAAUGUCUAAGUUUAACUUUUUGUCGAAUCGGACUCUAAACUGCUCGUAUAAGGCAGAACAUUAAGUCGCGUAGAGCAGUUCUAUAAUUUUAUAACAGCCCAAGGUCUUAACUUCGGAGCCAAAUUCCGACAACUUCGGGUGAUAAUCUCAGUCCGAGACCUAAAUGAAAGUUGUAGGCGACGUUCUUAACUUUAAGAAUGUCAAUUUUUUUUUAGGGGUCGGACUGUUUUAAGUGAACGGUUUCAAUAGCCGAAGUUGGCUAGAAACAUAGUUUUAGAUUAAUUAAUUAUAGUUAGAGUGUAAUUAAUUCGAGCUAUUAUCGAAUUUGUGUAGAAUUGACGAGGCGACUACCAAUGGAACCCGGAACUUACAGAACGCGACAUCGCUUAGCUAGUAUCAGAGAUUAUGGAUAGCAAGCGUGUGUUUUUCAGGUACCUAGAUUCUAGACGUGGCUAGAAGUCCGUCUCUGACCAGAAGUCAAUGUUCCAAUAAACAGUUCCGACUUCCAUGUCUGCUGCAGUAGUAUAAUGUCUGACUAGUGUCAUGGCCUAGUAGAACAGUAAAAAUUGUAUGUUGUUUAUAGUUGCUGUCUGUUGUGCAUAUUUUGGUUUGGCUACAAUAGUUAUGUUUUGUACCACGGAGGUAGAUUUCCGUGAUGUAACUUUGACGCUAGUAGUUUAUGCCGGGCUAGUACGUAUAUGAUACGGAAAUGAUAAGUCCGAGCAAGUUGUAUGAUUUUUACCAGUGUAUAAAUGUGUUUUUGUUUAAA